rnacentral:rRNA from 1 species
GUCCACGCCCUAAACGAUGUCAACUAGGUGUUGGGAGGGUAAACCUUUUAGUACCGGAGCUAACGCGUGAAGUUGACCGCCUGGGGAGUACGGCCGCAAGGUUAAAACUACAAAGGAAUUGACGGGGACCCGGCACAAGCGGUGGAUGAUGUGGAUUAAUUUCGAUGCAACGCGAAAAACCUUAACCUACCCUUGACAUGUCCAGAAGCCCUUAGAGAUUUGGGUGUGCCCGAAAGGGAGCUGGAACACAGGUGCUGCAUGGCUGUCGU